AAAGAACGUUCUCUCUUGGGCCUCAGGACUUGCAGAACAAGCUUGCACUGCUGCAGAGCGUCAGCAGCAUCUUCUCUGCCUUCCAAGCUAUGGGUGACUCCAGCUGGUUUAACCCCACCUUGCAGGCCAAGCUGCUGGAGGCCCUGAGGUGGCGCGUGGAGGAGAAGAAGAAGAGCGGUUUGUCCUCGAGACGGGAGCCGGUAGAAGAAUGAAAAGAAAAGGACAGCUGAGCUAAAAAAUUUGUACUAUUUAUUAAAAAUUUUGAAUGCCAGAAUCCUG